rnacentral:rRNA from 1 species
GAUGAACGCUGGCGGCGUGCCUAACACAUGCAAGUCGAACGGAGUCCAGCCUUUAAGACCUUCGGGUCAAAGAGGGGAAGACUGAGUGGCGGACGGGUGAGUAACACGUGGGCAACCUGGCUCAUAGAGGGGGAUAACAGAGAGAAAUUUCUGCUAAUACCGCAUAAGCACACACUGCCGCAUGGCAGAGGGUGAAAAGAGAAUCGCUAUGAGAUGGACCCGCGUCUGAUUAGCCAUUUGGCAGGGUAAGAGCCUACCAAAGCGACGAUCAGUAGCCGAUCUGAGAGGAUGAACGGCCACAUUGGGACUGAGACACGGCCCAAACUCCUACGGGAGGCAGCAGUGGGGGAUAUUGCACAAUGGGGGGAACCCUGAUGCAGCGACGCCGCGUGAGUGAAGAAGUAUUUCGGUAUGUAAAGCUCUAUCAGCAGGGAAGAUAAUGACAGUACCUGAAUAAGAAGCCCCGGCUAACUACGUG